GCCUGUUUAUCAAAAACAUAGCCUUAAGAUUUAUUUAAGGUAAGACCUGCCCAGUGCAAUAUUGUUAACGGCCGCAGUACCCUGACUGUGCUAAGGUAGCAUAAUCAGUUGGCUUUUAAAUGGAGUCGGGAAUGAAUGGAUUUAUGGGGUUAAGCUGUCUCUUUCGCAUUCAGUUGAAGUUACUUACUAGGUGAAAAUGCCUAGAUAUAGAAAAAAGACGAGAAGACCCUAGGAGUUUUAAUUAAAGUUUAUUUAUAGCUACUUUUUUGUUGGGGCGACAAGAGAAUAUAGAAAAACUUCUUGUUGUUGACCUGCCGACUUCGGUAUGAGAGACUAAACUACCCUAGGGAUAACAGCGUAAUUCUUUUGAGUUUGCGACCUCGAUGUUGGACUAGGAAUUUGGCAGGCUAGCCGCCUGCUUUUAUUGUUCUGUUCGAACUUAAUUUCCUA
rnacentral:rRNA from 1 species